GUCACAGGGCGCGGUGGCGCAUGCCUGUAGUCCCAGCUACUCAGGAGGCUGAGGUGGGAGGAUCGCUUGAGCCCAGGAGUUCUGGGCUGUAUGCGCUAUGCCGAUCGGGUGUCCACACUAAGUUCGGCAUCAGUAUGGUGACCUCCUGGGAGCAGGGGACCACCAGGUUGCCUCAGGAGGGGUGAACCAGCCCAGGUCAGAAAUGGAGCAGGUCAAAACUCCUGUGCUGAUCAGUAGUGGGAUCGUGCCUGUGAAUAGCUACUGCACUCCAGCCUGAGCAACAUAGCAAGACCCAGCCUCU
ensembl:misc_RNA Metazoa_SRP Metazoan signal recognition particle RNA